rnacentral:rRNA from 1 species
UACGGAGGGGGCUAGCGUUGUUCGGAAUUACUGGGCGUAAAGCGCACGUAGGCGGCUUUGUAAGUUUGCGGUGAAAGCCCGGGGCUCAACUCCGGAAUUGCCUUUAAGACUGCAUCGCUAGAAUUGUGGAGAGGUAAGUGGAAUUCCGAGUGUAGAGGUGAAAUUCGUAGAUAUUCGGAAGAACACCAGUGGCGAAGGCGACUUACUGGACACAUACUGACGCUGAGGUGCGAAAGCGUGGGGAGCAAACAGG